GACAGAGGGUGCAAACGUUGCUCGGAAUCACUGGGCGUAAAGGGCGUGUAGGCGGAUAGAUAAGUCGGGCGUGAAAUCCCCAGGCUCAACCUGGGAACUGCACUCGAAACUGUUUGUCUUGAGUACCGGAGAGGAAAGCGGAAUACCUGGUGUAGAGGUGAAAUUCGUAGAUAUCAGGUGGAACACCAGUGGCGAAGGCGGCUUUCUGGACGGUAACUGACGCUGAGACGCGAAAGCGUGGGGAGCAAACAGG
rnacentral:rRNA from 1 species